NNNUACGUAGCUCAGUUGGUUAGAGCACAUCACUCAUAAUGAUGGGGUCACAGGUUCGAAUCCCGUCGUAGCCACCA
rnacentral:tRNA from 2 species